AACGAACGCUGGCGGCAGGCUUAACACAUGCAAGUCGAGCGCCCCGCAAGGGGAGCGGCAGACGGGUGAGUAACGCGUGGGAAUCUACCCAUCCCUACGGAAUAGCUCCGGGAAACUGGAAUUAAUACCGUAUACGCCCUACGGGGGAAAGAUUUAUCGGGGAUGGAUGAGCCCGCGUUGGAUUAGCUAGUUGGUGGGGUAAAGGCCUACCAAGGCGACGAUCCGUAGCUGGUCUGAGAGGAUGAUCAGCCACACUGGGACUGAGACACGGCCCAGACUCCUACGGGAGGCAGCAGUGGGGAAUAUUGGACAAUGGGCGCAAGCCUGAUCCAGCCAUGCCGCGUGAGUGAUGAAGGCCUUAGGGUUGUAAAGCUCUUUCGCCAGGGACGAUAAUGACGGUACCUGGAUAAGAAGCCCCGGCUAACUUCGUGCCAGCCGCCGCCGUAAUAC
rnacentral:rRNA from 1 species